CCUACGGGAGGCAGCAGUGGGGAAUAUUGCACAAUGGGGGAAACCCUGAUGCAGCGACGCCGCGUGAGUGAAGACGUCCUUCGUUAUGUAAAGCUCUAUCAGCAGGGAAGUAAAUGACGGUACCUGUGUAAGAAUCUCUGGCUAACUACGUGCCAGCAGCCGCGGUAAUACGGAGGGGGCCAGCGUGAUCCGGAUUUACUGGGUGUAAAGGGAGCGUAGACGGGAUGGCAAGUCUGGAGUGAAAGGCGGGGGCUCAACCCUCGAAUUGCUCGGGAGACUGUACGGCUGGAGUGCAGGAGAGGUAGGUGGAAUUCGUGGUGUAGCGGUGAAAUGCUUAGAUAUUAGGAGGAACACCGAUGGCGAAGGCGGCUUACUGAACUGUAACUGACGUUGAGGCUCGAAAGCGUGGGGAUCAAACAGGAUUAGAUACCCGGGUAGUC
rnacentral:rRNA from 1 species